CAUGCAGUCGAACGCGAUUCCCGAUUUCGGUCGGGAUGAAAGUGGCGCAGGGUGCGUAACGCGUAUGCGACCUACCUUUAUCAGGGGGAUAGCCCGGAGAAAUCCGGAUUAACACCGCAUAAAAUCACAGGAUAGCAUUAUUCAAUGAUCAAAUAUUUAUAGGAUAAAGAUGGGCAUGCGUGUCAUUAGCUAGUUGGCGGGGUAACGGCCCACCAAGGCGACGAUGACUAGGGGAUCUGAGAGGAUGGCCCCCCACACUGGUACUGAGACACGGACCAGACUCCUACGGGAGGCAGCAGUAAGGAAUAUUGGUCAAUGGAGGGAACUCUGAACCAGCCAUGCCGCGUGCAGGAAGACUGCCCUAUGGGUUGUAAACUGCUUUUAUCCGGGAAUAAACCUGAGUACGUGUACUUAGCUGAAUGUACCGGAAGAAUAAGGAUCGGCUAACUCCGUGCCAGCAGCCGCGGUAAUACGGAGGAUCCAAGCGUUAUCCGGAUUUAUUGGGUUUAAAGGGUGCGUAGGCGGCCUGUUAAGUCAGGGGUGAAAGACGGUAGCUCAACUAUCGCAGUGCCCUUGAUACUGAUGGGCUUGAAUGGACUAGAGGUAGGCGGAAUGAGACAAGUAGCGGUGAAAUGCAUAGAUAUGUCUCAGAACACCGAUGGCGAAGGCAGCUUACUAUGGUCUUAUUGACGCUGAGGCACGAAAGCGUGGGGAUCAAACAGGAUUAGAUACCCUGGUAGUCCACGCCCUAAACGAUGAACACUCGCUGUUGGCGAUACACAGUCAGCGGCUAAGCGAAAGCGUUAAGUGUUCCACCUGGGGAGUACGCCCGCAAGGGUGAAACUCAAAGGAAUUGACGGGGGCCCGCACAAGCGGAGGAGCAUGUGGUUUAAUUCGAUGAUACGCGAGGAACCUUACCCGGGCUUGAAGUUAGUGACGAUGCUAGAGAUAGUAUCUGAGCAUCACACGAAACUAGUGCUGCAUGGCUGUCGUCAGCUCGUGCCGUGAGUGUGGGUAGUCCCGCACG
rnacentral:rRNA from 1 species